rnacentral:rRNA from 1 species
CAGUUCCUACGGGAGGCAGCAGUGAGGAAUAUUGGUCAAUGGUCGGGAGACUGAACCAGCCAAGCCGCGUGAGGGAGGAAGGUACAGAGUAUCGUAAACCUCUUUUGUCAGGGAACAAAGACUGGGACGCGUCCCCGGAUGAGUGUACCUGAAGAAAAAGCAUCGGCUAACUCCGUGCCAGCAGCCGCGGUAAUACGGAGGAUGCGAGCGUUAUCCGGAUUUAUCGGGUUUAAAGGGUGCGCAGGCGGUCUGUUAAGUCAGCGGUCAAAGCACGGGGCUAAACACCGGCCUGCCG